AUGUCAUUGCUUAUUUUCAUUCCUGAAGCAUUAAUUAUAGACCAUGAUAUCCUUGCAAUGAAACUACAAAGAGCAAAAACUGUUCAGUUGCUGAUGUUGGAGGAAUUCAGUCCAUCGUGUGCAGGACACUGUAAGAAGGUGUAUGUAACAAGAAGUGUUGGGAAAGAUUCAGUGCUUCUGCGGGGGUCCAGCGGCAAAUGGAAAUUGCCAUCAAUCACUGAACACCUUCCAGCAACUCAGCAAAUGAAGAUAGAAUACAGAUCAGUCAAAAUCUGUUCUCUGUGUUUGACACAAUUCAGCACGAGGACACUUCAUCUUCACUUGUGUAGAGGUGACACAAAUUAUUUUGUCACUUCUGAUAGCUGCAGUGUGUGGAGAGCAAAGGAGAGAAUUUCAUGGGCAGCAUUUGGUGGGGGAGAUUCACACUUAGCCUGACAGAAGGCCACACUACCCUGAGUACCACUCAUGUCCAAAAUCCUUCUGUCUUGCUGCGAUGCCCAACUGCUUCAGAGCAGUACUCCAACUACUUGCAGAUAAAAAAUAGAUGUUUUCCUAAUUUCGUUUCUCCUGGUUAAUUUAGAGGGAAAAAAAUAUAUAUAUUUUUUUCAGUAAAGCCUUUGACCAGAAUUCCAGUCAUUCCAGACAAACUCGAU
rnacentral:lncRNA from 1 species